GGCGGUUAGUCCACCUUUGGUCCCCACCUGGCACUCAGCUCUCACCUGUGGCUCCCCGUAGCUGUUUGCAUGCGACAGCGGCCACACCCCGGGCAACGGCUUCGACAAGCCGGCUAAACCAGGUGAGGGUAGCCGAUGGGUCUCAAACCCUCGGUGAGAUAGGGAGUUGUCUAUCCCAGCAUGUGAAGACAGACUCCGGUGGAUUGAGCGGACGAGACCAGUGGAAGGUCCAAUGGUCAAGAAGGCGGUCUCUGCAAGCGUCGUGGAACGUGUAGAGCAGGACAAGACACAGAAGAUGUCCUGGUCAUCCACUGCGCCUAGUCCCAUCUCCAGCCGUCUAGACUCUGUCUUGCCACUGGAUCCAGAUGGGAAUUGGGAAGAGAGAGUGAGGCUGACGCUGCGCAACUCUCCCUCACUUAAAUCCAAAUCACACGCUAGUCUCGACACCAUCAUUAUGGUGUCGAGGUCCUCUUCAACGUCAACGAUGGACGAACAACAACAACAAUGAAAACCUACUUUAAAAACCAUCCAAGACACUUGUGGACCUGGAAAAGUCCAGGUGAUAACAUGAGAAAUCAAAUUGACUUUAUUACUAUAAACAAAAGAUUUAGAAACUCAUUGACUCAAUGCAAAAUGUAUCCAGGUGCAGACUGUAAUAGGGACUAUAACCCAGUAGUAUGUCUUGUAAAAGUAAAACUUAAAAAAUUAAAGAAGCAAAUACCUGAACAAUCCCUUGACUACUUGCAAUUAAUUAAAGAAGAAAACUUAAGACAAAAAAUUUACAAUUGAAGUAAGGAAUAGAUUUCAAAGUCUAGAAAUAGAAUCUGUUGAAGAUGAUAGCAAUCAUGUAGAAAUGAAAUUUAAAUCUCUAAAGGAUGCCUUGGUAGAAUCAGCAAAGUCAGUGAUUCCUAAAAAAGUAAAAAGCACAAAGAAUAAAUAGAUGACAGAUGAAAUCAAAAAUCUAAUGGAAGAAAGGAGACGGAAGAAAACAAAUCCAAUAGAAUAUAAGACCUUAGAUAAAAAAGUUAAAAGCUUAUGUCAAAAAGCCAAAGAAGAAUGGUUAUACCAGGAAUGUGAGCAAAUAGAAAGAAUCCCUAUUACUGAUCCUAGAAGGUCACAUCAACAAAACAAAAAUAUCACUGAUAAAAAGCUCCUCUGUUCUUCAGGUGGAUGUUUGAAAGCAAAGGGCGGUACCAUUAUCAUGAAAAAAGAUGGGAUUAUGAACAGAUGGACCGAGUAUAUUCAGGAAUUGUUUGAAGACGAUCGAGGCAAAAAACCAGAAAUUAAGAAAAACAUUGAAGGUCCAAGUAUUUAAAAAUCUGAAGUUCGUAAUGCAAUAAAUAAGAUGAAGAAAGGAAAGGCAGCAGGUCCUGAUGAAUUCGUAAUAGAAUAAAUUAUUGCCCUUGAAGAUUAUGGAAUUGAAAAACUUACUGAUUUAAUCAAUGACAUUUAUGAGACUGGAAAAAUACCAGAAGAGAUGAAAAAAAUCAGUAUUUAUCACUCUUCCUAAGAAAGCUGGAGCAAUAGAAUGUGAAUUACAUAGGACCAUACGUUUAAUGAGUCAUAUCAUCAAGAUACUUCUAAGAAUUUUGAUGGCAAGAGCUAAAGAAGGAGAGCCAUAUAUGAGCAGAGAACAUAGAGCAAAGCAGCUACAAUCAAAUGAAACACCUUGACUGCACACAGUGAUCUCCAUUUAACUGCUUAUAUUCGCAGCACAGCCAGCAUCGGAAUGGAAGCGACUGAAGCCCCCCGGAAAAAAAAACAAACCGCGUAUCUCGGCAACGGUCACCGGGCAACGGCAGUCACCGUGGGACGUGAGGUGUGUCGGGGUGAAACCCCUGGAGAAACUAAAGAUGAAGGAUUUAUUGAAGCACCAUGCGCAAUAUUUUGGAGGAUCAAGAACCAAGAAGCUACAGCUAUAACAUGCAGCAGCUUCCACGAGACAAUAUUGGCAGAG